AAAGAGUGACAAGAACCGAGAUCGACAGAAAGAAAGACUAUUGGAUGAUUUAGCCAUCAUUUUUUUUAAUUUCUUUUUUUUCUUUUUCUAU
rnacentral:ribozyme from 9 species